CCACUGCACUCCAGCCUAGGCAACAGAGUGAGACUCUGUCUCAAAAAAUAAAAAAUAAAUAGAAGGAGACAAUGGCAUUUGUUCUGCUCCAGAGCAAGAGAGUGAUGCCAGGAGGCACAGAUCAAGGGUGUUUGCCGUGGAGUUUAGCGUCCCCAGUGCCGUUAGGAAACCAGGGGACAGCUCUCUUAUGGGAGGCUGUGGCUUGGGACCAGAGGGCUGGGCUAGACCCAGGAGACCCAAUGCCUAGGCCAGGUCUGCUUUUGUGACCCACAGCAAGUUCUCCAGCCUCCCCAGGAGAGGGGACCAUUGUGCAAAGUGUUUUUACCUCCUUCUUGCACUAAAAUUCCUCAUGCUGAGGCCUCAGAAAUACCCGAAGGGUUAAUCUGAGUCCACACCCAUUUGCCUGUCAAAAGGCCCAGGUGCCUCUCCCAGGGCCCUGCCUUACUGCACCCUGGCUGAUAGGACAGACGCCUUCUUUCAGUCACUUUCCAGCCUACACCCCAGUGAACUUGAACCUGGAUGCUGGACUGUUUCCCGCAGGGCGGCCCUGAGCCUGUGUGCUCUGCUCGUCAGCCCCCAGGAGGAAAGCAUCGUGACAAGUGGGUUUGGACUCGGAUGAACCCUUCGGGGGUCAAGCCCACCCCACGGUCUGGCUUUUCCGUGGCCAUGGCCCCGAAUCACCAGACACUGUUCUUCGGGGGUGUCUGUGACGAGGAAGAGGAGGAGAGCCUGUCGGGCGAGUUCUUCAACGAUCUGUACUUCUACGACGCCACCAGGAACCGUUGGUUUGAGGGACAGCUGAAGGGACCCAAGUCUGAAAAGAAGAAACGCAGGCGGGGCAGAAAAGAGGAGCCCGAAGGUGGUAGCAGGCCGGCGUGUGGGGGAGCUGGCACCCAGGGGCCUGUGCAGCUGGUCAAGGAGGUGGUGGCCGAGGAUGGCACCGUGGUCACCAUUAAGCAGGUGCUCACCGCGCCAGGCUCGGCGGGGCAGCCCCGGUCUGAGGACGAAGACAGCCUUGAGGAGGCCGGCAGCCCCGCACCUGGGCCGUGUCCACGCUCCAACGCCAUGCUGGCUGUGAAGCAUGGGGUGCUCUACGUCUAUGGGGGCAUGUUUGAGGCCGGCGACCGCCAGGUCACCCUCAGCGACCUGCACUGCCUGGACCUGCACAGGAUGGAGGCGUGGAAGGCCUUGGUGGAGAUGGACCCAGAAACUCAGGAGUGGCUGGAGGAGACGGACUCGGAAGAGGACAGUGAGGAGGUUGAGGGCGCCGAGGGUGGGGUCGACGACGAAGACAGCGGAGAGGAGAGCGGUGCGGAGGACUGAGAAGAGCCCCUGCCAGGGGCGCCUGGCAAGUGCUGUGCCCACGUCCGCCCAGGACCCAGCCGUGUUGAGUGAAGCUCUUGGGGCCAGCGUGCGUCCUGACGCACAGGAGAGAGCUGAAGGCUGUGACAAACCCUGUGCCCACGCUGCCUCCACUGCCGGGAGACUCAGGGCUGGGGGAGACAUGCCCUGGUCACCACUGCGGAGACUCAGGGCUGGGGGAGACAUGCCCUGGCCACCAGUGGUGAGCCAGCGAGACAGGACCCCACGCGCGCUGACCCGGGGACGCCAUGGAACUCACUCGCGAUUCCUGCACGCGCGCUGACCCGGGGACGCCAUGGAACUCACUCGCGAUUCCUGCUCACAGCACGUUUCCUGCUCGAAAACCAGGAGAGCCUCCACGUGCCGACUAGCUCUGUCCACACAUCCAUUGCGCAGCUCUGCAGCGGAAGGACCUUCAGUAAAGACGCUGGUUUGUAACGAGAGAAGCGUUCCAAAGUGUCACACGACAUUGUUUAUUACUAAAAGGAGCAGAAUUUCUUUUUAAUCUUGACAGUGUUGUUUUCGUAACAGUAUGAUUUAAACUGUUACAUUCAUUUAGGAAAACUUUUUUUCAUUUCAUAAGUAAUCAAGCUAUCUUUCCAGCUUAAAAGCAAAGAAAAAAGGCUCAGGGUAACUUUUUAAACCACUUCAUCAAUAAGAAAAGUUCUCUCUGUCAUUGCACGGCGUGAUUGUACACAGUAUUAGCAAGCAGUUCACAUGCGCCAGGGCCGACUUGGAAGGAAACACAGGUUAACACUGUUUCCUGUCCGAGUUCACAGAGAUGUUUGCAGCAGGCUCAGUUGCUUUGGCAGCUGGAGCGAGGGUGCCUCUUCCGCGUGGCUCCCCUGAGCAGAGAGGCCCCUGUGGUUUUUUUCUCCGCCGGGCUCUGGGGACAGGGUUUCUGUGGAAAUGGCAAAUGGUGCAGAUGAGCAGAGUCCUGCUAGAGAGGUCAGCUCAGCGUCCAGGAGGGGGCGCCUGCCCCCGAGGAGGCCACGGACAUGCCUGGGAAGUUGCUGCCGGAGAAGUGUGCUCUGAUGUGGCUACAUUUGGGGACGCGGGCUCCCCAGAGGCCCAAGCGAGAAAGCCGGGGGUUCCCAGGCUGGGGGUGCAGGACGGGCCAGGCACUGCCCUGCAGGGCCCGCCCCCCUGCCCCUGCACCCUCACACCCAUCUUCCUCUCUCAGCCUGACCCCAGGGCCUGGGAGCCCCCGGCAGACCGGCCCUCCUUGCCAAACAGUGGCUGCCCUUUAUGGACUCGGCGCCUGGCAGAGCCACUGUGGAGGAGGAGUUGGCUGUCAUGGUCAGGGGAGGCAGCCCUUGGGUUGUCAAGGUUGGUGGUCAACGUUGAACCCAUAUCUGCUGGAAUCUCCCGGUCUGUUCCACACACGAUCAUGCGGGAAGCUCUGGGACCCGAAGGCUGUUCUGAUCUCGGGGGUCACAAGUUCUCACAGCAGCCUGGGGUCACCAGGGACCAGACCCGGCGUUAGCCUCUGUAAGGAGCUGCCUGGCUGCUGGGCUGAGCUUUGUUGCAGGCCCAGGAAGAUGACCAAGAAGGACAGAGCAGAGCCCCAUCUACCACUGCUGGGAGGGCCCGAGGGAGCACGUGCACAGCAGAGCCCCAUCCUCCACUCCCUGGGCUCGAAGAGGCUUCCUCGGUGUGGAUGGCAGCUGUUAACGAGCAGUGGUGGUGCAGCUGGAGGCCUCUGUCCCAUGGGGCACAGACGGGAGAAGGAUGGCGGACGGGUGUGCACGCUUGGGAGGACGGGCGGGCGGCAUAGGCCUGAGCAGGUGGCAUGGGCGCACGAGAAGGGUGUGUCUGAGACAGGAUGUUUAUCCCAAAUGCCAGGAGUGGACGAGGCGGACGAGUGGCAGUGAGGUAGGCAUGUGAGGUUGUUGCCUGGCCCACUCUGCCGACCCCAGAAACCCAGCGGCCUGGGCCCAGCACCCGGCUACACAUGGGGUGAGCUCACGCCCACACUGUGGCCUGUGCCCGUCACGGGGCUGCUUGCUUCUCCUAGGCUUGGGAACAAGCUGGCAUGAACGCUGUGGCCGCAUUCACAGCUCAGGCACUUCCACUUUGGGUUUCAUGAAGAAACAGACUUAAAGAGCAUUUGUUCCUAAUGGGUGGGCUGAAGCUUGGGAGGAGCAUUCAGCUUCUCUCCACAGUAUGGCUUCACCUGUUCCUGAGCGCCCUGCUACCCUCUUGCUAACCUGGGUGGCUGAGGUCCUCUGCUUUGGUGGCGUUGACUUCCCGUCUGCAGCCAGCGCCAGGUGCCAGCCCCCGCCUCUGCUCAUCGGGAAGCGCUGGCCUGCAGGUGCUUUGUGGUUGCCACGGACCCUUGUUCUGUCCCUUUCCAGCACCCACCCCCCACGCGCUGUGCAUUCCGUAGUUCAUUUUCAAGGCAGGGGGCACAUGGUGAAAAUACAGCCUGGCUUUUUUUCAACAAAUGCAGCUGCACUCUUCCUUGCUUGUUUUGAAGGCUGAGCCAGCAACCUCCUUGGCACCUGGGGACAGUCGCUUCCUCAGUUUCUGCGUACCGACUGCCUCACCUGACACGCGGCCUGGGCGCGAGAGAAGCCAACCAGGUGCCUGAGUUGACUGACUCCUUCCGCCCUCCAGCUUCCUCCCUCCGCCCUCCAACCUCCUCCCUCCACCCUCCAACCUCCUCCCUCCGCCCUCCAACCUCCUCCCUCUGCCCUGCAACCUCCUCCCCUCUGCCCUCCAACCUCCUCCCUCCGCCCUCCAAUCUCCUCCCUCUGCCCUGCAUCCUCCUCCCCUCCGCCCUCCAACCUCCUCCCUCCGCCCUCCAACCUCCUCCCUCCGCCCUCCAACCUCCUCCCUCCGCCCUCUGCCCUCCUCCCUCUGCCCUCCAGCGUUCUCCCUCCUCCCUCCACCCUGUUUCCUCCCUCCACCUCUUCUCUCCUCCCUCCACCCUCUUCCUUCUACCCUCUUCCCUCUGCCCUCUUCUUCUGCCCUCCUCCCUCCACCCUCUUUCCUCCCUCCUCCCUCCACCCUCUGCCCUCCUCCCUCUACCCCCUGCCCUCCUCCCUCCGCCUUAUCUGGAAUCGGGGUCUUGGUCCUGGGCUGGAGGCAGACCCUGGCCCGGGCGAGGUUAAAGGUACUGCAGGAGGGCGGCAUCAUGAUGUCCUGAAGCUUGUUGCGCCCGGUGCUGUCGGCCGGCUGAAGGCAGAAACAGUCACAGCACCUGCAGCUAUGGAAGGCGACGACUGAAAAUCUAAUAGGCACCUUGAUGUCAAGUUUCCAAGACCAAAGGCAAGAACAGUCAGAUCAAACUUCGGAAGAGUCAGAGAAAGUGAGCAUGACCUAGAGGAGGGAGACGGUCCUUCCGCUGUCUCCUGCAGAGCGUCUGUCGCACGUAUGAGGUGAAAUCCGCACUGUCCCAUGAAGACUGUGAGGGGAGUUGCCACCCGCACACGGCCCAGGAGCGCCAGCAGCUUGGGGACCACCACAGGCCUCAGGGUCUCUUCAGUCCGACGGGUCCAGCUGUCGAUAAAACCUCCCGGGGAAGGAGUAAAGGACAACCAAGAACCUGAACUGCAAAAGUAUGAAAAACAUUUCAUUUCCCUCGAGUUCUCCACACUUUAGGUCUGCAGCGCCUUGGGGGUGACUGAUGGCCCUCCGUGAGACGCGGUGGCCAUGUGCUUCUACAAGUGAAAAGGAGCAAGUGUGGUUAGAGCCUGGAGUAUGGACGUCCCGGGGACCGCUGGCCCAUGGCCUGGCUUGGGGCCUUACAGGGGAGCGAGCUGAGUGAAUGCAGGGGAGGGCCCGUCUUUCUACAGUGUGUAUCUUGUUUUUGAGACAGACUCACUCUGUCGUCCAGGCUGGAGUGCAGUGGCGCGAUCUCUGCUCACUGCAACCUCUGCCUCCCGGGUUCAAGCGAUUCUCCUGCCUCAGCCUCCUCAGUAGCUGGGAUUACAGGCACCUGCCACCACGCCUGGCUAAUUUUUGUAUUUUUUUUUUAGUAGAGAUGGGGUUUCACUAUGUUGGUCAGGCUGGCCUCGAGCUCCUGACCUCAGGUGAUCCACCUGCCUUGGCCUCCCAAAGUGCUGGGAUUACAGGCAUGAGCCACCGCGCCCGGCCCUGCCCUGCUUUUCUACAUCACCACUGUCUUGUCAGUUAGCUCGGCUCAGGCAUUGCAUGCCUGAUCUGUAUCUUUGGGAAUCCUGUGAGGUAAUGGUUCUAGAUCCAAAAGAAUGGAUAAAGAGACUGUUUCAGUUCCCGAAAUUAUCCAGGCACAUUCUGUGCGCUACUGAACUUCAGAAAGCACCAGUCCAUCCAGUGUGCAGAGGCUGGUAAGUAAAACAGGCCAGCCGUGGGCACAGACAGUUUCACCAGAGGCCCCGGGGCAGAGGGUCUUCUCCAGCUCUUCCAGGGCGGGGCUCAUCUGUUCCUGGGCCAGAGGUGGACCUGUCUGCAGGCUUGUAAGGGUGGGGAGACGCCAGCCUGGCCCAUGGGCUGUCCACACCCACCCCCCGCAGACCGCGCUGCUGUCUGCAGGGGAUGCCACCACUUCCUCCUGGCCUCGGGUGCACAGGUGAAACAUGAAGAAGCUAUUGGGGCGGAAAAUGGCUCUCACCAGGCUGCUCUCGGGUUAAUGAAAACUCGUCAAAUUCUCCAUGCAGCAGCAGCCAGCCGGGCACAUGCUGUCCUGCCCUGCCCGACUGUGUGCAGGGAAGCAGGUCCCCUGGGCCUGGGCGGAGGGACUGCGUGCCUGUCAGGGAAGGCCGAGGCUCCGGACAGGCGGGAAGCAGCCUUCUGCUUAAUCACCCCAUGUGGAAACCAAUUAAAGAUUCGAUUCUCUCAGACCCGGGGCAUUUUAGCCUUGGUUGAAUCCUCCUGGAAUUCACAGGGAAGUGGCUUUGCCCUCUGCCCUCGCUGCUGGAAGGCAAGGGGCCGUUCUCGCCUUGGUUUUCUAGGUUGUGUUGCGGCAGGAGCUGACUGCCCCUAGGCCUAGAUCUCUGCACAACUUCGCUCAGGGACACCUGCCUCUGUGCAUGUCUCAUGGUGUGAAUGUGUUUCCUGCUCACAGGUACCGUUUUGUGUCAUGCAGUUACUGGAAUGUACAAAAGCAGCUGUGAUCUUUGUGAGAGCUGCACAGAGCAGGAGUCUGAGAGCUGCACAGAGCAGGAGUCUUUAUUUGGUUCACUUCUGGUCUGCAGCAACCACUUGCUACUAAAAGAUGGAAAAGAUGUACAAAAAUGUCACAGCCCUUUAGAAAGCGACAUUAUCAGAAAUGUAUGACCUUCAGUCCUCCCUCCCUCUCCUAUGCCCCCACCAGACCAGGCGGCGAGAAGGAACAGGGAGUGAACAUGUAACGGAAAACAAUAAAACUGAAUUUAACUGGAA